CGUAGGUGGCGAGCGUUGUCCGGAAUUACUGGGUGUAAAGGGCGUGUAGGCGGGAAUGCAAGUCAGAUGUGAAAUGCCGAGGCUUAACCUCGGAGCUGCAUCUGAAACUGUGUUUCUUGAGUGUCGGAGAGGAAAGUGGAAUUCCCAGUGUAGCGGUGAAAUGCGUAGAUAUUGGGAGGAACACCAGUGGCGAAGGCGACUUUCUGGACGAUAACUGACGCUGAGGCGCGAAAGCGUGGGGAGCAAACAGGAUUAGAUACCCUGGUAGUCCACGCCGUAAACGAUGGAUACUAGGUGUAGGAGGUAUCGACCCCUUCUGUGCCGCAGUUAACACAAUAAGUAUCCCACCUGGGGGAGUACGGCCGCAAGGUUAG
rnacentral:rRNA from 1 species